UGCUUUUCUUCAUCUAUAAAAUGACCAUUUGGUGUUGACACAUUGGACAUAAUAUUUAUUAAAUGAAAAUAUGCAUUAAAAUGUCUAUCCUCCUGAAAAGACAAUAUACAUUAAAUCCUCAUUAUCAACAAUUAAUAUUUAUUGCAGAUAAAAAUGAACCAAAGGGAGACAAAGUGAUCUUUAAUAAACAGGAUUCAGAAGACCCAGGCAUUAGCCCUAACAGAUUAUAAAACUCAGACUUUGGCAGACGUUGCCAAGCAGUUUGGUGUCCUUAUUGAUGGGGAAGACAUAAAAUGAGGAUGAUUCUAGGCACCCUCGUCAAUGCAAAUGUACUUUAGAAGGAUUUCAGAUAACACCUGAAUCCUAAGGAUGAAGGAUAAAUUUUAUCUUUUCUUUCUUUAACAACAACAUUAUUGAGAUACAACCAUGUACAAUACACUGCAUGUAUUGAAAGCGUGAAAUUUUGUUUUGACAAAUGUAUACGUCUGUGAAACCAUUGCCACAAGAAAGAUGAUGAACAUAUCCAUUGCUCCCCAAAGUUUCUUUGAGCCCUUUUGUAAUCCCCCCCUUCCUAUAGUCCCUCCUAACCACUUAACUACUUUCUCAUGUUGUAAAUUGAUUUGCAUUUUCUAAAGUAUCAUAAAAAUGGAAUCAUACAGUAUACACUCAUUUUGUCUAACUUUUUUUGUUUAAAUCAGUAUAAAAACCCAUCAAUCUAGUUUACCAUGUUAACAAACUAAAUAAAGAUGAAAACCGAAAACA
rnacentral:lncRNA from 1 species